UGUGCUGCCAUUGGGUUCUAGGGCUGCAG
rnacentral:piRNA from 1 species